rnacentral:tRNA from 1 species
GUGGCACAAUGGUUAAGUGCUCAGCUGCAAAUUGAAAGAUUGGUGGUUCGACUCCAUCC